rnacentral:rRNA from 1 species
CCUACGGGAGGCAGCAGUCGGGAAUUUUGGGCAAUGGGCGAAAGCCUGACCCAGCAACGCCGCGUGAAGGAUGAAAUCCCUCGGGAUGUAAACUUCGCAAGAACGGGAAGAAUAAGUAGGGGACAAUACCCCCUAUGAUGACGGUACCGUUUGUAAGCUCCGGCUAACUCCGUGCCAGCAGCCGCGGUAAUACGGGGGGAGCAAGCGUUGUUCGGAUUUACUGGGCGUAAAGGGCGCGUAGGCGGCCAGCACAAGUCAGUUGUGAAAUCUCCGAGCUUAACUCGGAAAGGUCAACUGAUACUGUGCGGCUAGAGUGCAGAAGGGGCAACUGGAAUUCUCGGUGUAGCGGUGAAAUGCGUAGAUAUCGAGAGGAACACCUGCGGCGAAGGCGGGUUGCUGGGCUGACACUGACGCUGAGGCGCGAAAGCUAGGGGAGCGAACGGGAUUAGAUACCCCGGUAGUCCUAGCCUUAAACGAUGAAUGCUUGGUGUCUGGGGUUAUAUAGUCCCCGGGUGCCGUCGCUAACGCUUUAAGCAUUCCGCCUGGGGAGUACGGUCGCAAGACUGAAACUCAAAGGAAUUGACGG